rnacentral:lncRNA from 1 species
UAAAUACGAUACAUGGAUCAUAUGUAUAGACGAGCUGAGGUCAACAAUACUGAUGCACAGUGAGACUACAUCAGUGGUUCACUGAGCUGCUCCUAUUGGCAUUUAAUCAACCAACUGGUCUACCAUCAAGAUAGACCUCACCACCAUGAAGUACAAGCCCGCUCAAGAGGAGGUUCCUGACGCAGAGCCGCGACCUCAAGCACCUCACCACCAAGCCAAAACCCAGCCAUCAGCACAAUCAUGUUUGACGUUGGGCUGCCUGUAACAAUGCGAAGAACGUUAUGAUUCUCCAACGCAAGAGUUUCCAAGAAUAGGAAAAUAAAUUUUAUACCGUCUCAGAUUCAGAUGACCUCCCUAAAUCAGAAGAACAGAUUAAUUAGAUGUACCUAACACACACAUGUACAUGAAGAUAGGAUUGAUAGAUUUUAUGUCAGUACCUAAUCUCUAACCAUCUUCGAGACCUCUCUUGGAACACUGUCCCCCAUGGUGCGCAACCACCACCAUUCAGCAAUUCAUCAAAUGCCAGAUGCCUUUUAAAUGCCACUCUUUCGCAAUCCCUGCAAACAACAUUGCAGAGACCACAAAAAUCUUUGGAAAACUCUGAUACAAUAUGUAUUUGUUGUUUAGUUACUUUGCUAAUUUAGAGCCUAAUGACAGUAGUUUUUUCUUUAGAAAAUAAUAACAACGACGAGAGCGGUAAGGUCAUACAUGUGCGCACGAAGACUUGUCUUCGUAGCCUGAUUUGGUAAUGCGAGUAUGACACUUGCAUGAGUUCCAAGCAUUGGUGCAUGGUAUUGGAGUUAGAUGGCUGAUCUAGAAUCAUUUACAUGAUUUGAGAAAUCUUCCUAAUAAUUUGUUAUGUGCAGAAUUCAAUGAAGUUUUUUAGACAGGUUGAUGACUCUUGCAAACUUAAUUAUCUUAAGUUUCAAACAAUUAAUUCUUUGAAUCUCCUGAACAUACAAAAAGAAAUAGCCAUUGGCAGUCAAAGGAGCAUAGACAAGUGUAAUCAGAGGGAUUAAAUUGUUAC